rnacentral:misc_RNA from 1 species
GAUGAAGAACGCAGCGAACGUGCGAAACGUAAUGUGAAUUGCAGAAUUCAGUGAAUCAUCGAAUCUUUGAACGCAUCUUGCGCUCCUUGGUAUUCCGAGGAGCAUGCCUGUUUGAGUGUCGUGAAAUACUCUCAAUUUCAAUCUUUUUGUUUGAAAUUGGAUUUGGAUGUUGUUGUGGAUCUUGCUACGACUCAUCCUAAAUGCAUUAGCGAUCUGCCUUGAUCACACACAAUGUGAUAAGAUGAGCAUUGUUAUAAUCAAGUCAUGACUGCUUCUAACCGUCCCUUUGGGACAAGCGUCUUAUGUCGUUUGACCUCAAAUCAGGUAGGACUACCCGCUGAACUUAAGCAUAUCAAUAAGCGGAGGA